UACAGAGGUCCCAAGCGUUGUUCGGAUUCACUGGGCGUAAAGGGUGCGCAGGUGGUCGGGUAAGUCUGAUGUGAAAUCCCGCAGCUUAACUGCGGAAUGGCAUUGGAUACUAUUCGGCUAGAGGGUUGGAGGGGGGACUGGAAUUCUCGGUGUAGCAGUGAAAUGCGUAGAUAUCGAGAGGAACACCAGUGGCGAAGGCGGCCAUCUGGGACAACACUGACGCUGAAGCACGAAAGCGUGGGGAGCAAACAGG
rnacentral:rRNA from 1 species